rnacentral:rRNA from 1 species
GUCCACGCCGUAAACGAUGGGUGCUUGGUGUCGGGGGUAUCGACCCCUCCGGUGCCGAAGCUAACGCAUUAAGCACCCCGCCUGGGGAGUACGGUAGCAAGGCUGAAACUCAAAGGAAUUGACGGGGGCCCGCACAAGCGGUGGAGCAUGUGGUUCAAUUCGAUGCAACGCGAAGAACCUUACCUGGGUUUGAAGAGCAGGAGACAGGCGAUGAAAGUCGUCCUCCCCGCAAGGGGCUGCUGCUUAGGUGCUGCAUGGCUGUCGU